AAAAUAUAAUGUGAAUGAAGGACAGACAAAUACUGCUGCAGAGUUGAGAGAAGCAGAUAGUGAGGUGUGUAUUGUAUAUAUUGUUAUAGCAUUUGAUGAUAACAUGCGAAAUUGAUUUGAGAAGGUUGGAAAAGAAUAUGCAACUUCCUGUUGCUACUUGGAUUAUAUGUCGAUCAGGAAUGAGAUAAUCCCUUUGUGAAAUCAACUACUAUGUCAUAUAUCCGAUUCAUAAUUUGAUUUCAUUUGCCUUCAGGGGAAAAAAAUAAAAAUAAUAGAAGUUUGUGUUGUGAUACAAAUGCUUUGACAACCCAGUCUGUGAGCUAAAAUGUUCUUUCAAUUGCAUUUGUUUUUUCAAAAAAAGUAUGAAUAAGAAAUACUUUUGAGCAUCAAAAGGAUCUAAAGUUGGGGAAAUAGCAAUUUAAGUAGUUCCAUUUCCCUCUCUGUCUACCGUCUGGCUCACAUUUUCCUUGCUCUGUUUUUCUGUUUUUGGGUUUGGAUUUUGAGUUAUUUGAAUGAUAUAUAUAUUGGGUUCAAAAGAAAUUCUGGAUGAUAUUGAGUUAUUUGAAUGAUAUAUAUAUAUAUAUAUAUUGAGAUGUUCAGUUCUUAACUGCUAGGUUCUUAACUAUAGUUUUUAAUUGCUGGGUUCAAUAGAGUUAUUGAAAACAUGACUUUAGUAUUCUUCUUGAAUUUUUGGUAGACUAUCUGAGAUCAUGAAUAUCUGAGAUCAUCCCACAAGUAAAAUUGGUAGACUAUCUCUUCAAAUCAAACUUAUAGCAUAAAACCUGUUUGAGCUGCUUCCAGAAGCAUCUCUUCUUGGGUCAUCCUCUUCUCCUCCUUCCUUUUUCCUUUUAAUUUGCUGCCAAAAGAAAAUUUAUUCAGUUCAAGCUACUUAACUGCACAUCCUAAAACUUACAAUAGCUAUCCAGUUGAAUAGUCAUUAGAAAUUUUCAUGAUUAGCAUUUCAUUCACAUGGAAGAAUACCAAGAGUUAUUACAAAUUAGCAUUUUCAUGAAUAGGAAUAAACCAAUUCACAACAUUACAAAUUAUCAUUACAAAUUAUCUUCAUUCACAUGGAGGAAUACCAAGAGUUUCUUCUUGAAUUUUUCUUUUUCGGGUAAUUGUUCUUCCUCUUGAAUUUUUUUUUUCCUCUCACAGCUUUUGCCUUCAUCACUUUGGCUGCUCGGCUAUUCACUUCGGCUGCUCGACAUCCUGCUCGGCUGCUUGAAGAAUUCUGCAUAUGAUUUCGGCAAGAAUUUUGCAUAUGAAUUCUGUAGAAUUUUGGCUGAUCAAUCCCUUGGUCUCAAGUAGAACGACUAUUUGUCCCCAAGAUCGAUAGAUCGGUCGACGCAACCAACAAGAAAGAGGAGAUUAUCUGAAGUACGGACCGAGCAUGGUAGAACUGAGCCUGGGUGUUCUUAUAGAUAUUGUUGAUGAGGAAUGGAUGCGAGUCACUCUUUCUGAUGAUGAUCUUGCAUUACCACCAGUGAUGAUUUCGCGAUCUGACGACACUGAAGAGUCAAGCAUCAGAAUCUGGUGAGGAGAAUAGUUCUAAGGCUCCAUCAAUAGAGGGAAUGGAAGGUGAGGGAGAGAUUAAUCGAAUGAUCAAACUUUUGGUUGAGGAAAAAGUUCCCCUUUGCUAAACUUUUGAACUGGGGUAAGGAAAAAGUUUUCCUUUGCUUGGCUAGGUUGAGUUUAUGAAUUUAUCUAUUUUUUGGAUAAUGUUCUCUUUGCUAAUUAUUUUUAUUAUUAUUUAUUGUUUUUGGGAAACACCAAAAAAAUUAGCAGUUUUUUUAUUUUUUGUUUGCACUACUUCUAAAUAGGUUGAAUGCUCUCAAUUGGAUCUCAGUUGUGAGUUUAUGAAAUCUUUCUUUUGAGAUUGUGGUUUAAAGAUUUUUGAAAUGAUGCUCCUUGCAUUGCGGUGCCAAAGAUAUCCAUGAAGGUUAUCAAAGAAAGAACAUUUUUCUUGAUUGGUGUAAUCCAUAGACAUAUAUGCUUGAUUGGAGGGUUAGCUGAUUGCCCAAAGAGGUGGUUUUGUUGAUUAAGGUGUAGUUUCUUCUUCUUUUUUUUUUGGUUUUUACUUUCUAUUUUUCUCUUCCUUAGUAAUUAGCAAGAGAGAAGUGUAAUAUGAAGAGUCUGAGACUUAAGCUUAGUAAAGUGAAAUGAGUGUUGUAACUAACUAAUACUACUGAAACUUGAGUGUAAUAUGUUCAUGAGUUUGCUAAUCAUACAUUUUAUUUAACUAAUUUAUACAUUUUUCAUGCUACAUUUUGGGCUUUGAUACACUUUAAUUUUGCAGAAUGGGAGUGAGUAGCAAUGCACGAUUUUCCUUUCCAUGCCUUUUCUUUUUAAACAUUACCUAUUAAUAGUUGACAUGAGAGAUGGUUUGUUAAUAUUGCAAUCACUGAAAUUAUAUUCUUUUUAAAUUUUAGCCGUAGU